rnacentral:tRNA from 1 species
GCCGGUCUAGUAUAGUGGUUAGUACAGUUCGUUGUGGCCGAACAAACCCAGGUUCGAUUCCUGGGCCGGCA